rnacentral:rRNA from 1 species
UNGGAGAGGAAAGUGGAAUUCCUAGUGUAGCGGUGAAAUGCGUAGAUAUUAGGAAGAACACCAGUGGCGAAGGCGACUUUCUGGACGAAAACUGACGCUGAGGCGCGAAAGCCAGGGGAGCGAACGGGAUUAGAUACCCCGGUAGUCCUGGCCGUAAACGAUGGGUACUAGGUGUAGGAGGUAUCGACCCCUUCUGUGCCGGAGUUAACGCAAUAAGUACCCCGCCUGGGGAGUACGACCGCAAGGUUGAAACUCAAAGGAAUUGACGGGGGCCCGCACAAGCGGUGGAGUAUGUGGUUUAAUUCGACGCAACGCGAAGAACCUUACCAGGUCUUGACAUUGAUGGACAGAACCAGAGAUGGUUCCUCUUCUUCGGAAGCCAGAAAACAGGUGGUGCACGGUUGUCGUCAGCUCGUGUCGUGAGAUGUUGGGUUAAGUCCCGCGACGAGCGCAACCCCUAUCUUAUGUUGCCAGCACUUUGGGUGGGGACUCAUGAGAGACUGCCGCAGACAAUGCGGAGGAAGGCGGGGAUGACGUCAAAUCAUCAUGCCCCUUAUGACCUGGGCUACACACGUACUACAAUGGGAGUUAAUAGACGGAAGCGAGAUCGCGAGAUGGAGCAAACCCGAGAAACACUCUCUCAGUUCGGAUCGUAGGCUGCAACUCGCCUACGUGAAGUCGGAAUCGCUAGUAAUCGCAGGUCAGCAUACUGCGGUGAAUACGUUCCCGGGCCUUGUACACACCGCCCGUCACACCACGAAAGUCGGAAGUGCCCAAAGCCGGUGGGGUAACCUUCGGGAGCCANCCGU